rnacentral:rRNA from 1 species
AAUCAACGCUGGCGGCGUGCCUAACACAUGCAAGUCGAACGCGAGAGGGCUUCGGCCCUGAUUGAGUGGCAAACGGGUGAGUAACGCGUGGGUGACCUACCUUCGAGUGGGGGAUAACGUUCCGAAGGACGCUAAUACCGCAUAACAUCCUGUCUUUGGACAGAUGGAGAUCAAAGCCGGGAUCGUAAGACCUGGCGCUUGAGGA